UACGUAGGGCGCAAGCGUUAUCCGGAAUUAUUGGGCGUAAAGAGCUCGUAGGCGGUUUGUCGCGUCUGCUGUGAAAUCUGGAGGCUCAACCUCCAGCCUGCAGUGGGUACGGGCAGACUAGAGUGCGGUAGGGGAGAUUGGAACUCCUGGUGUAGCGGUGGAAUGCGCAGAUAUCAGGAAGAACACCGAUGGCGAAGGCAGAUCUCUGGGCCGUAACUGACGCUGAGGAGCGAAAGCAUGGGGAGCGAACAGG
rnacentral:rRNA from 1 species